UCCGACAUGUGACCACCUGGAAGCAAAAGACACCCACAUACAUGACAUCAACUUGAUCCCGGUAUUGAUCGGCGAAUCUUCGGCAAGUCUUUGGGUAAUUGAGAAGUCAUUGAUUCUUGUUUGUUGGCUGGAAUGCUCAUCAUCAUCAUCAUCAUCAUCAUCAUCAUGAUGGUCCCAGUCGUCGUCGUUGGAGGGAUGAUCUCAAGUAUUUGUUGAUUGUCGCUUUCAAAGCGGGUCCCAUAGGCUAAAUACCGAGAUUUUUCUAUUGAGGCGCCUCCAAAAAGGAGUCCCUUUGAUAAAAGACAGAGAACCUCGCCAGCAAUGAAACCAAGGAAGAAGCACACAAGGCCCUGUUCAAGCUUGCCUCUUCCUUCUCGUUCGUCUUAAGGGGGCAAGAAAAGAAGUCUUUUGAGCCACUUCAAUUUAGUAGCUCAGGAAUUUCGGGGGCUCCUCUUUACGCUCUUUCACGGCUGGAUGUCGGCUUUUGUGACGUGACAUCAUCAUGACACUUUUUUCUCCCGUUCUUUGUGUUCAAUCAUCGAUAUUUAAAUGAACGGGAAAUCAAAUGACUACGGUGCGUGUAUCCACGCACUCCUCCUAUCUUGGAUGGAUUCAUGGUCACGUUGGAAAAUGAACAAAUUCCAAGGUACAUGCCUGGCGAAUGGAAUGAGUCGAUCUGUUUCAAUCAUUUUAAAGUGGCAACCUCAUGCCGACUUCGGGGCCAUUGGAUUGGGAGGACACCAAAGGGUGCCCCCGUUCUUCAUAUUCUUUCAGCCUCCUCACUACUUACAGGACGGAUCGUCCAUAAGCAUCAGGAGCGUCUGGCAGGCUCUAUGAAUGAGAUGAGCUCACAAAUCUCAUAACGAAAGCCAGGAAUUUCUCCACCUUCGAUGUUUCAGGUGCGAAAGACUACAUAAUUGGGUUGUGGUUUCAUUCAGAGGAUCGCUGAAUGGUAUUCAAAGUGUGAUGGUGCAUAAUUGGUAAACCAAGACGUGAGACGUGAGUUUUCCCCUUUUCUUCUCCUGUGCAGAAGUUGUUCUUCUAUUACUACGAUGGAGUACAGUAUGAGUCGAAAAAAAGCGCUUGAAUCAUGGCCAGAGCAUAUUUUCGAAUUAAAGGUGUAAGAUAUCCCGCUGGGACAGACGCCGUGUGUGGGCUGUUCGACUCCAAGUGAGACGACUGGGUGGAAAACAUGACUUGAGACCGAAUACAACUUGUACAGAGUCCGUACAUACACCACCGGACCAACCAACCCACCAACCCACCAACCAACAGACCGACCGACCGACUGGCACUCACUGUACAAGUAGGACCAUAAGAUGGAUGGCGGUGAUCCCUGUCAUCGAAUGGGGAAGUAUGAAUGCCAACCUACCCAACGCCAAGAAACCGACCCACCACCACCUCUAUUAUGGUUAUCAACAACCAGUGGCUGCUAGUAGUUAUUCAGAAAGAAAUUAGCUCAACUCUUGCCAGCCAGAGGGCUAAGAUCGUUUUCCUUGGUCUUGAUUGCGAUGCCAAUCUCAAUGAUCUCGUAGACCAGACAUGACCAUUCACCAUGUACAUGAAAUAAGGUCACUCCCGUUUCCCUUGGCCGGAUAUAGUUCGAUUUAGGUGCAAGAUGGGUUGUUCAAGAAUGUUUGGGAAUGCAUCCAGGUGUGCAUCCUCGUCUUGAAGCCUCGUUUUUGUUGCAAUGGUCCUGAGAGCGUUUUGAGUAUGUUCAUUAAGAGGUUUGUAAAAGAGACGUUGAUGUUGAAACAAAAGGCCAUACUGAUCUGGGCUGGACCCUCGACAACCCCUCAAUCUUCAUUCUCUCGGUGACAUUUUUCUCUCUUUCCAAAUGAACCGUUUCUCAAACAAAAGAAUUUAGAAGGUGAGGACAUCUUCGUUUUCGACUUGGGUCUGCCUGUGUCCGAACAGUCAUUUGUUCGGUUAGGUCGCCUUCAUUCCAAUUGUCAAAGGAUGCCAAAUGUGAAAAGAAGAAAGGGAUCCUCCUAUUCAUGUCGCCACCCCAUGACUUCCAAUACACAUGCAACCUAAAGCCAAUACUUCUACUCCUUCCAAAGGACUUUUGACCGACUGUAAUAAUGGAAUCAUGUCUUUCUUGACGAACAGACCGAAUAAGUUCUGAGACUCAAAGCCAAGUUUGCGAUGACCAGAUUUCAAGCAAUCAAUAGUUCCAGGGGCCCUCAUUCCAUUCGAUUUGCUAUUCGAUGACAUGUGGUCCGCUUCAGAGGUCUAUUGAUGUGUUUUUCUGGAUUGGCGUGCCAAGAACAAAAUGGGCUUAUGUUAUUAGAGGACCAAAGUGCCGGGUUUCGGAUCCCAUUAGCACACCCUAGCUUGGAGAGAGCGCCGAGCACAUAGUAUAGUACUCUAUGUACUCGACUGCACAUACUACUGUACUGUUCGAAGUAACUUUAGGGAAGAGAUAAGGCUUGAAACAUUUUGAACAGGCUGUGAGCUACAGCAUGUUCGUGGUGGGAAAGGGUCCACCCGGGUUGGCAUGACAUGUUCAAGGGUCAAAAAGAGGUGGUUACUGGGUUGAAGGGCCCACCAUGAGUGGAUUGGACACCAGCAAGCAACCAACGGCAGCACUGUGCUUGGGGAGCUCUUGAAGUUUGAUUGUCAGGAGACGAGGAAUGGGAGGAGAACGACAAGAAGAUUGAGAUAUGUUUUAGGUAAGACAUCAUCAUCAUCAGAACGUGAAGCAGCACCCGUACAAGUACCACCAACGUAUUGGCUGAGGCUGAGGAGGAUCAGAAACGAACUGGGCGACGACAGAAUUCCACGAACAAGACAGAAAGUUAGAAUCGUUUUGAUCCUACUCAAAACAUGCGAGGUGAUGAUGAUCACCAUGAUCAUCGGAUGAAGAAGAUGUUGGUGGUGCGGUUGUGAUGAUGACGAGAACAUCGAUGUCAGCUUGCCAAUGGAUCAAAGUGAGGCUUACCAAGUAUUCCAUCGAUGCUAUGGUUGGUCCGGACAUCGUCCAGUUCCGUCGGGGUCAGAGGACCCGUACUUCCGCGGAGAACCCGAGAGAUACUACUGACACUAGGAGCGCUAUUCUUGUCGCAAAUCCCCUCCUGGAAUGAAUCAGACUUCAUCAGAGGCUGAACAUUCCUGGAUUCUCUUUCUUGUAGUCCUCAAUCCUCUUCUCAACCUCGGGCGUGGCCACGCGGGGCUUCGAACCCCCGAUCACCCCCGGUCGAAUGGAACCCGUUUCCUGGUAUCUAUUCAAGAUCUUGGACACACAGCCAUGACUGACUCGAAGUUGCCGUGAGAUGACACAGGGUCUGACCCCUGCGGCUGCCAUCUCGAUGAUCUUCAAUCGGAUGUGAUUGGGCAAGGGGCGGCCAUUGAUGAAUACUCCACCCAACUGAUUCACGCGACCUUGACCUGAGGGUACAAAUUCCGAGUGUCUCAAGACAUGGUCAUCUUAGAGGCAAUCUUUGGGAGUCAUUUGUAACCUAGACGUGUGGCUUAGUUCGGCACGUAAAAAAUGAAUUUGACUAGGGGGAUGGUUCACUUUUUUCCCUACUUGAUCAUGGUAAACCGGUGGUUGAUAGGGUAUUUCGAUUUUAGCUAAAAGCAAACUCAUCGAAGCCCCUAUUCACUGUAUUGUAUUUAACAAUUUUUCUUAAAAGGUGUGUUUAACACCUUAAUGGAUAUCCUAGAAAAAUUUGGUUGACUGAGGUGGUCAGGUCAUUGAAGAAUUUAGUGUAUCAGGUGAUAACGAAACCAGGAUUAUUUGCAUCAUUCAUACAUUUAUUUUGAAUCGUAAAUAAAGGCAACAAUCUGAGCACA